CUGAUCACGUACAGGGUAAGAGUUUUGGAAUUCCUUGCCAUAGGUUUGAUGUUUUUCCUGCUCAACAAAGACAUUGUUGUAUUCGUGUUGGCGCGCAGUGAGCGGAAAAGACGCGCUUCCUGAGUAAACAGAGGUGAUGUAUGGGAGCAUUUCCCCAGUGUCAUCCUGAUCCUGGUUAACGGCACAAGGAAAGUCAUAGGCGACGUUACUCUGAGAUAAGAAGUGAAUAUCUGCAGAUGGAAAGGAGUCAUAGGAAAGUUCGAGAGUAGCAGGCAUCGAUGGAUGAGGGUGAUGUUGGGUGGGAGAUGGAUCGUCUACUGACUCAGUUGAAACAUACCGACCUUGUCCGGAGCACUGCUGCAGGGAGACUGCUGGAGAAUUACUGUGGCAGAACUUCGGAGAAAACGUCAGAAUGUCUGAACUGGGAAUGUAUUCUAAGUAAGAGUUCAUUCUUCCAAUGAUGUGCUACAGCAGAAUUAGAUGCUUAGCUCUAGCUGAUUGCUGUCUAUCCCUGAUCACCAUAGCAGAUCUUUCACUUCCUCCGCAAAGGAAGUAAAUAUUCCUAAUAUAGAGCAAGACAAGCACGUGGUUCCAGCCACCCAAUCAGAGCGGCCGUCACCGGAGCGAUGCCAUGGCGUCCGUAGUUCCUUGCUGAUCCACCGAGAGGAGUGGACUCUUCAAUGCUCACCUUCCAUUGAGAUCACAUCAUCAGCACAGACCGCAGAGGCGUUCACUAGCCUUACUUUUUCAGCGGACGAUCUCCCAUAGCCGGUCCUAAGGAAUAUUGCUGAUUGGAACUUUGGACGAAGGCAAUUCAACCAUUAAAUUGAGAGCAAUCAGCAGUGCCCGGAUGUUUACUUUUACUUGCAUAUUUCCACGUUAAUUCUUAUCCUUACACAAAGCUAUCUUAUAAAAUGUAUUGUAAAGACAAACGGACUCCAGUUUUUGAAAAAUUGCAGAUACUUGAAAUAUUCACCUUAUUUAAAAUAAAAUACUGAAAAUACUUUA